GAUGAACGCUGGCGGCGUGCCUAAUACAUGCAAGUCGAGCGAAUGGAUUAAGAGCUUGCUCUUAUGAAGUUAGCGGCGGACGGGUGAGUAACACGUGGGUAACCUGCCCAUAAGACUGGGAUAACUCCGGGAAACCGGGGCUAAUACCGGAUAACAUUUUGAACCGCAUGGUUCGAAAUUGAAAGGCGGCUUCGGCUGUCACUUAUGGAUGGACCCGCGUCGCAUUAGCUAGUUGGUGAGGUAACGGCGCACCAAGGCAACGAUGCGUAGCCGACCUGAGAGGGUAAUGGGCCACACUGGGACUGAUACACGGCCCAGACUCCUACGGGAGGCAGCAGUAGGGAAUCUUCCGCAAUGGACGAAAGUCUGACGGAGCAACGCCGCGUGAGUGAUGAAGGCUUUCGGGUCGUAAGACUCUGUUGUUAGGGAAGAACAAGUGCUAGUUGAAUAAGCUGGCACCUUGACGGUACCUAACCAGAAAGCCACGGCUAACUACGUGCCAGCCGCCGCGGUAC
rnacentral:rRNA from 1 species